GGGAGGAGGGGCCGUCAGGGGGCCUCGAGGACCGGCCCGUGCCAGGGCGGCGCUUCUCCCCCCAGCGGGCGACUGCCCCGUGGCCCCCUGCCCAGGCCUCCCGCAUUCAGAGGCGCCGACGAGCCUCCCCACAAAGCGGCCACGACUCUCCGGCCUUCCCGUCCUGCUUCUCGCCAAGCCUUUGCCCGCGCUGGGCCCCGCGCCCCAUCACUCCCUCUGCCCCGGCCUCUGGAAAUCCACUUCUUCCUUCCUCCCGCCCCCCCCGACAAAGGCUCCCCAGUCCGUCUGCUCCUCGGCUGCCUCGCCAGGGCUUCUCCCCCUCGGGGGCCGGGACCUGAAGGAGGUCCCGAAGAUCGCUGCCACCCGGGGGACUUCACAGGGGGGGACCGAGACCCAGAGAAGACCACGUAUAGCAGGGACUGGCAGUCAGGCGCCGUGCCCAUUGCCCGGGUGCCCACUGCCAGUGAGACCCAGAAGGGGCCGAUACCCAGGGGGGGCGUCCCUUCAGAGCUGGAUCCCUGGAGUCUGAAUGACAUCACCCCUUCUUGAAGGUCUCCACCAGGGACUCGGCGUAGAAGGGGGUCUCCCCGAAGAGCAACUCGUACAUGCACACCCCCAGGGACCACCAGUCGCAC